rnacentral:rRNA from 1 species
UGGCUCAGAUGAAACGCUGGCGGCGUGCUUAACACAUGCAAGUCGAUCGGUAACAGGUGUAGCAAUACAUGCUGACGAGAGGCGGACGGGUGAGGAAUAUUUGGGAAUCUGCCCAUCAGCGGGGGACAACCCGGGGAAACUCGGGCUAAUACCGCAUACGCUCUACGGAGGAAAGCCGGGGACCGCAAGGCCUGGCACUGAUGGAUGAGCCCAAAUCGGAUUAGCUAGUUGGCGGGGUAACGGCCCACCAAGGCGACGAUCCGUAGCUGGUCUGAGAGGACGAUCAGCCACACCGGAACUGAGACACGGUCCGGACUCCUACGGGAGGCAGCAGUGGGGAAUAUUGGACAAUGGGGGAAACCCUGAUCCAGCGACGCCGCGUGGGUGAAGAAGGCCUGCGGGUUGUAAAGCCCUUUCGGUAGGGAAGAAAUCUCUUGCUCUAACAAAGCAAGGGUUUGACUUAACCUACAUAAGAAGCACCGGCUAACUCUGUGCCAGCAGCCGCGGUAAUACAGAGGGUGCGAGCGUUAAUCGGAAUUACUGGGCGUAAAGCGCACGUAGUCGGCUUGCCAAGUCGGGUGUGAAAUCCCCGGGCUCAACCUGGGAACUGCAUCCGAAACUGGCUUGCUAGAGUAUGGGAGAGGGAGGCGGAAUUUCUGGUGUAGCAGUGAAAUGCGUAGAUAUCAGAAGGAACAUCAGUGGCGAAGGCGGCCUCCUGGACCAAUACUGACGAUCAGGUGCGAAAGCGUGGGGAGCAAACAGGAUUAGAUACCCUGGUAGUCCACGCCCUAAACGAUGACAACUGGAUGUCGGGAGGGUUUGCCUUCCGGUGUCGUAGCUAACGCGUUAAGUUGUCCGCCUGGGAAGUACGGCCGCAAGGU